rnacentral:rRNA from 1 species
UACGUAGGGGGCUAGCGUUGUCCGGAUUUAUUGGGCGUAAAGAGCGUGUAGGCGGCUUUACAGGUCCGUUGUGAAAACUCGAGGCUCAACCUCGAGACGCCGGUGGAAACCGUAAAGCUAGAGUCCGGAAGAGGAGAGUGGAAUUCCUGGUGUAGCGGUGAAAUGCGCAGAUAUCAGGAGGAACACCCGUGGCGAAAGCGGCUCUCUGGGACGGUACUGACGCUGAGACGCGAAAGCGUGGGGAGCAAACAGA